AUUUCUCAUUCCUCUUUAUAUCUUGGGUUGUGUUGCAUGGACAGAUUGCACACAGAAUGAAAUUCACCCCUGUGCAGAGAGUCAGCACAAGGCAGGACAAAAGUUGUUGAAGCCACAUGUAAUGCAUACCCCUUUGGAGAAGGGAGAAGCUUGGCAGAAAGAAGGCAGCACCAAGGAAUAGCUCCUAGAGACAGAAACUGGUAUCUCCCAGCCAGCAUUCCAAGCAUACCGAGCUGUGAUGCUCUUUUAUCUUGCUGUUAUUUCAAGUUUGAGCCUCUGCAUCCAGAUCUUGUAACUCUUCACCUGUUAGAGCUCACUCCAGCUGCAGGAUGAAACUCCAUGCAAGGUGAAACAAAGGUCUCUGAAGGACAAAGAUCUUUACUGAGGCUGGCUACAGGCUGACCAGGGAUUCUUCCCAAAAGGAUGAGAAAGGCCACUCAUAUAAGUAAGCACUUGAAUUCAAUUCCUGAGUCAAGUAUCCAUUGGCUGUAGAGUACACUUUGUUGUAAAGCUGGUUAUAUU
rnacentral:lncRNA from 1 species